AGAUGUACGGGAUUGACAUAUAAAUCCGCUUCUCUUACAAGGAAGAAGUCACAGGUUCAAAUCCUGUAGCGCCCA
rnacentral:tRNA from 1 species